GGGAGCCUGAGAAACGGCUACCACAUCCAAGGAUGGCAGCAGGCGCGCAAAUUACCCAAUCCCGACACGGGGAGGUAGUGACAAUAAAUAACAAUACGGGGUUCUUUAGGAUCUCGUAAUUGGAAUGAGUACAAUUUAAAUCUCUUAACGAGGAACAAUUGGAGGGCAAGUCUGGUGCCAGCAGCCGCGGUAAUUCCAGCUCCAAUAGCGUAUAUUAAAGUUGUUGCAGUUAAAAAGCUCGUAGUUGAAUUUCGGGGUUAGUAGGUUGGUCAUGCCUCUGGUAUGUACUGGUCUCACUGAUUCCUCCUUCCUUAUGAACCGUAAUGCCAUUAAUUUGGUGUUGCGGGGAAUUUGGACUGUUACUUUGAAAAAAUUAGAGUGUUUAAAGCAAGCUAACGCUUGAAUACAUUAGCAUGGAAUAAUGAAAUAGGACGUUCGAUCUUAUUUUGUUGGUUUCUAGGAUUGACGUAAUGAUUAAUAGGGAUAGUUGGGGGCAUUAGUAUUCAAUUGUCAGAGGUGAAAUUCUUGGAUUUAUUGAAGACUAACUACUGCGAAAGCAUUUGCCAAGGAUGUUUUCAUUAAUCAAGAACGAAAGUUAGGGGAUCGAAGACGAUCAGAUACCGUCGUAGUCUUAACCAUAAACUAUGCCGACUAGGGAUCGGAUGAUGUUAAUUUUUUAAUGACUCAUUCGGCGCCUUACG
rnacentral:rRNA from 1 species